GAUGAAGAACGUAGCAAAAUGCGAUAAGUAAUGUGAAUUGCAGAAUUCAGUGAAUCAUCGAAUCUUUGAACGCACAUUGCGCCCGCUGGUAUUCCGGCGGGCAUGCCUGUUCGAGCGUCAUUUCAACCCUCAAGCCCCCGGGUUUGGUGUUGGGGAUCGGCUCUGCCUUCUGGCGGUGCCGCCCCCGAAAUACAUUGGCGGUCUCGCUGCAGCCUCCAUUGCGUAGUAGCUAACACCUCGCAACUGGAACGCGGCGCGGCCAUGCCGUAAAACCCCAACUUCUGAAAGUUUGACCUCGGAUCAGGUAGGAAUACCCGCUGAACUUAAGCAUAUCAAUAAGCGAGGA
rnacentral:misc_RNA from 1 species